GAUGAACGCUGGCGGCGUGCCUAAUACAUGCAAGUCGAGCGAAUGGAUUAAGAGCUUGCUCUUAUGAAGUUAGCGGCGGACGGGUGAGUAACACGUGGGUAACCUGCCCAUAAGACUGGGAUAACUCCGGGAAACCGGGGCUAAUACCGGAUAAUAUUUUGAACUGCAUGGUUCAAAAUUGAAAGGCGGCUUCGGCUGUCACUUAUGGAUGGACCCGCGUCGCAUUAGCUAGUUGGUGAGGUAACGGCUCACCAAGGCAACGAUGCGUAGCCGACCUGAGAGGGUGCUCGGCCACACUGGGACUGAGACACGGCCCAGACUCCUACGGGAGGCAGCAGGAGGGAAUCUUCCGCAAUGGACGAAAGUCUGACGGAGCAACGCCGCGUGAGUGAUGAAGGCUUUCGGGUCGUAAAACUCUGUUGUUAGGGAAGAACAAGUGCUAGUUGAAUAAGCUGACACCUUGACGGUACCUAACCAGAAAGCCACGGCUAACUACGUGCCAGCCGCCGCAGUAA
rnacentral:rRNA from 1 species